AGAUAGAUAUAAUACAAAAUAUAUAACAAGGGUCCAGUCGUUUUUAUACAUUUUACAUUUGAUUUUACAUAUUUACAUAUCAUAAGUCUUUGAUCUGUGCCAGUGUCACUGGAUCCUCUGUUUAUCCCUCAGUUAACAUCCUGCUGCAGUCAUGACAACCGAGACUGUGAGUCUAGUAGGCGCGGUGAGAUAGCCUGUAUUUAAACACACCUUAAACAAAUGAUGCAUUAGACAGGCGUAUGUUCCUGUCCUGGCCAUGAUCAAACAUUAUGAACCAAUCUUGUAGUCGGUGAGUGCAUCCUAUCUAAAAUGAGACACAUUUACAGUAUAUCCGCUGAUGAAUUUAAGGGCACCAUAAAGAGGGUGGUGAGGGAGGAAUAGCUGUUCUUCUCUUUUAGCAUGGUUUUUUGUUUAUGAUGUGGGUUUUGUAUGGCUGCCCUUUGUGGGAUUUCCCCGGUACAAUACGUGUACAAUAAAAUAAAUAAAUCAAUAUGAAAGACCUUCAGUGAAAGUCCAUCAAUGCAUCUGUUUCCGUCUGCGCGGUUGCGCUCAAAGCUGGACAUAGGACAUUUGACAGCUGCUUUAUCUUUUGUCAGAUAUCUCAAUCUGUCUUCACCUGAUGGGCAGUGACAAGAAGAGGAAGCAUGCAGGGCCACGAUUGGACGUCACGGUGCGUUGUAAAAGGCACGGCUGACAAUCCAUGUCGCCAAACAACAAGCGGUGAAGUGUCACAAGGAUCAAUAUUGGGAAGACGGAUAGCUAACACUGCAUCCGUCACAAGGGGAUUCAGGCUCAGCGGGCCGUGACGGCACAUAAAACAGGCCAGCCAGGACUGAGACUGGGUUGACCUGUCAGGCUGGACCACGGGGCCUACAUGUCAUAGAGGGAGAUCGUGAUAAGGCGAUAAGAGGAGUAAAUUUGCUUUUCCGGAUUGCUACAGACGACAAAUCCAUUGGACGUCGAAGCGAGGGUUACGCAAGCAGCCGUGCCGCUGACGUCGGACUCUCUCCGCUGCCUGCUUGAUUGAUUACAGUAUAGUGCCGCUGCUGGAAAAACUAAACACGCCAAAACACACUGUAGAUAUUAGUGAGAUCAUCAUCUCUGCUGUCCACAGCUGGCCUGGAAUGGUACUUAGGUACAAUGCUGAGGUACUUAAUUUGAGGCAUUUUCAUAUUCUCUUACUUUAUACCUCCACCCCACUACAUUUUGGCAGAUACUGCACUUAUACUGCACUACAUGUAUUUCAUAUUAGUAACUUUGCUGAGUUCCUACCACACCAGAGUCACAGCAGCAAUGUGUAUACUAACUUACUUAACUGGAAUUUAAAAAUAAAAAACUCAGAUUUUG